GAAGCUUUGGCCCGACAAUUUUGCGAAGAUUCCUCCUCCGAAGAUGAGGAACUCAUGAUGGAUGCAAUUGCAGUAGAAAAAGAACAAGCCCGACUGGAUGCUCCACGACAUGGAGGUUCACAAUCGGGACGUCAAUCUCUUCAGCGCGGUUUUGUGGAACGCUUUUUGAACCUCGACAAGGACUAUUUUGCACAGAACUGUACCUUCACCACAAGGAUGUUUCGCAACAUGUAUGAAACUAGUGCAUUUGUUUUGUUUUCACCAUAG
rnacentral:rRNA from 1 species